ACAAACAUUUGGUUGGAGAAGGAAAUGGUACUUUGUUUGGAAAUUGCGAAACACCCAGUAGUAACGGCGAUACUAUUCCCAAGAAUCGUAGGCGAAAAAGGGCUCUUUUCUUCGCCAUUACGGAACGUUCCUUCAGAAAAAGAAAAUUGAGAUAACAACAGAUCACGUUUGUUUCAAUUCCGCUUCGUUGUCUGGUUGGGAUCUACAACACAAGUUUCGAUCCUAGAGCGUAUUCUCGCAAUGCAAAUUAUCGAACUUCCAAUUCGGAGCAACUACGUAAAAUUUCCAAGUGGCGAACUCUGUGCGUUGGAAGUUCUUCGUUAAUGUAGUUCCACGGUCGAUGACAAUUUAUAGUCCCCUGUUAUUGUUAAUUUCAUUG
rnacentral:misc_RNA from 1 species